GUCUUCGCGGUGUAGUGGUCAGCACGCUCGGCGUGUAUUCGAGAUGUCCGUGGUUCGAGUCCCGGCGAGGGCA
rfam:Stegodyphus mimosarum contig102011, whole genome shotgun sequence.